rnacentral:rRNA from 1 species
UUAAGCGACUAAGCGUACACGGUGGAUGCCCUGGCAGUCAGAGGCGAUGAAGGACGUGCUAAUCUGCGAUAAGCGUCGGUGAGGUGAUAUGAACCGUUAUAACCGGCGAUUUCCGAAUGGGGAAACCCAGUGUGUUUCGACACACUAUCAUUAACUGAAUCCAUAGGUUAAUGAGGCGAACCGGGGGAACUGAAACAUCUAAGUACCCCGAGGAAAAGAAAUCAACCGAGAUUCCCCCAGUAGCGGCGAGCGAACGGGGAGGAGCCCAGAGCCUGAAUCAGUGUGUGUGUUAGUGGAAGCGUCUGGAAAGGCGCGCGAUACAGGGUGACAGCCCCGUACACAAAAAUGCACAUAUUGUGAGCUCGAUGAGUAGGGCGGGACACGUGGUAUCCUGUCUGAAUAUGGGGGGACCAUCCUCCAAGGCUAAAUACUCCUGACUGACCGAUAGUGAACCAGUACCGUGAGGGAAAGGCGAAAAGAACCCCGGCGAGGGGAGUGAAAAAGAACCUGAAACCGUGUACGUACAAGCAGUGGGAGCCUCUUAAUGGGGUGACUGCGUACCUUUUGUAUAAUGGGUCAGCGACUUAUAUUCUGUAGCAAGGUUAACCGAAUAGGGGAGCCGAAGGGAAACCGAGUCUUAACUGGGCGUUAAGUUGCAGGGUAUAGACCCGAAACCCGGUGAUCUAGCCAUGGGCAGGUUGAAGGUUGGGUAACACUAACUGGAGGACCGAACCGACUAAUGUUGAAAAAUUAGCGGAUGACUUGUGGCUGGGGGUGAAAGGCCAAUCAAACCGGGAGAUAGCUGGUUCUCCCCGAAAGCUAUUUAGGUAGCGCCUCGUGAAUUCAUCUCCGGGGGUAGAGCACUGUUUCGGCAAGGGGGUCAUCCCGACUUACCAACCCGAUGCAAACUGCGAAUACCGGAGAAUGUUAUCACGGGAGACACACGGCGGGUGCUAACGUCCGUCGUGAAGAGGGAAACAACCCAGACCGCCAGCUAAGGUCCCAAAGUCAUGGUUAAGUGGGAAACGAUGUGGGAAGGCCCAGACAGCCAGGAUGUUGGCUUAGAAGCAGCCAUCAUUUAAAGAAAGCGUAAUAGCUCACUGGUCGAGUCGGCCUGCGCGGAAGAUGUAACGGGGCUAAACCAUGCACCGAAGCUGCGGCAGCGACACUAUGUGUUGUUGGGUAGGGGAGCGUUCUGUAAGCCUGUGAAGGUAGCCUGUGAGGGUUGCUGGAGGUAUCAGAAGUGCGAAUGCUGACAUAAGUAACGAUAAAGCGGGUGAAAAGCCCGCUCGCCGGAAGACCAAGGGUUCCUGUCCAACGUUAAUCGGGGCAGGGUGAGUCGACCCCUAAGGCGAGGCCGAAAGGCGUAGUCGAUGGGAAACAGGUUAAUAUUCCUGUACUUGGUGUUACUGCGAAGGGGGGACGGAGAAGGCUAUGUUGGCCGGGCGACGGUUGUCCCGGUUUAAGCGUGUAGGCUGGUUUUCCAGGCAAAUCCGGAAAAUCAAGGCUGAGGCGUGAUGACGAGGCACUACGGUGCUGAAGCGACAAAUGCCCUGCUUCCAGGAAAAGCCUCUAAGCAUCAGGUAACAUCAAAUCGUACCCCAAACCGACACAGGUGGUCAGGUAGAGAAUACCAAGGCGCUUGAGAGAACUCGGGUGAAGGAACUAGGCAAAAUGGUGCCGUAACUUCGGGAGAAGGCACGCUGAUAUGUAGGUGAAGCGACUUGCUCGUGGAGCUGAAAUCAGUCGAAGAUACCAGCUGGCUGCAACUGUUUAUUAAAAACACAGCACUGUGCAAACACGAAAGUGGACGUAUACGGUGUGACGCCUGCCCGGUGCCGGAAGGUUAAUUGAUGGGGUUAGCGGUAACGCGAAGCUCUUGAUCGAAGCCCCGGUAAACGGCGGCCGUAACUAUAACGGUCCUAAGGUAGCGAAAUUCCUUGUCGGGU